UUGGCCAGAGUGGAGGCUGUUUUCAGAGCUCCACUCCUACUUCCUCAGCUGCCAAGCAAGCAAACACACAAACAGCUGGCUCAUCACAGGAGCAAAAAUGGCUAUCCAAUCAAUCAGCAGUGGAGAAAAAAAAAGAAAAAAAAAAACAUGUUGUCAGAAGAUGACUAAUUUUGAACCAGUAUGAAUAGGACAAAAGAAAAUGUCCUGAGUUCCAUUAUGAUAAGUCUUGAGAAUGGCGUGAGUGGAAGGAGCACUUCAACAGAUUCUGAACCACAGUGGAGCUUAACACAGAGAGUGAAUAAGUACAGGAGGAUUACCAUCGGCCCAUGGAACGUGAGGACCAUUUAUGAGUCAGGAAAGACGGCGCAGGCUGCAGCAGAGAUGAGGAGCAACAACCUGACCCUACUAGGCAUUAGCGAGACCAACUAACAUCACUAGACAGGCACUGCGGUGGAACCCCCCAAGUCAAGCGGAAAAGAGGCUGUCCAAGAAACACCUGGUGACGCAACCUUCAGGCUGAUAGCAAAAAAAUGGGCUAUACCUGGAACCAGCUAGAGCGCAGGAUAGAGGACUCUGGAGAUCUGUGGUUGGCGGCCCAUACCCCGAUUGGGGUGACGGGCAUGAGUGAGUGAGUGAGUUUUGUGGGUAAACCCCCCCCCACUCCUUCAGAUGCAUAGAGUGAAAAUUACAAAUACAGGCAUAAAUAUACUGGCACAUGAAGUGAGGUUCAUAGAGUGAGAUUCUUUCCCUUGUUCUGAUCCAUUUAUGCUGGGCAAAAGGCUGAAGUUGCCUAAGAAGUUCUAAAAGCCCCAGAUCUGGCCAGAGAGAAUUCCUCUCAGGACACUAUCAGAAACCCUUGUGUAGGGGUGGUGUUAGGGGCCAGAGAGGUGUUUUGGGGCAAGGUCACAGUACAAAGCAUGUAUUGAUUCUGGACAAUGCCACCGCCCAUAGAGCAGUUCGGGGAGGCAGCUGUGACCUUAGCCCCGCACACCCCUGGGCUCUGAGUUUUGUGCUGUGCUUCUAAGAGGCACAACACAUAAUCUCAUGCAUAAUGCUUAAAAAAACCUGAUCAGCAUUAAAUCCUAUGAAUGAACAGGUGUGCAUUUAUCCAACGAUGCAGAGGCAUGGGGAAAGAGUGGGAACCUUUAUAAGGACCCUGUAGAAACAAGUAGAGCAUUGUGACUUCACUAUCAAUAAUGUACAGCCCAUCUAAUAGUUGAGAUUGUA